rnacentral:rRNA from 1 species
CCUACAAGAGGCUGCAGUGAGGAAUAUUGGUCAAUGGGCGCGAGCCUGAACCAGCCAAGUAGCGUGAAGGAUGACUGCCCUACGGGUUGUAAACUUCUUUUAUAAAGGAAUAAAGUGAGGCACGUGUGCCUUUUUGUAUGUACUUUAUGAAUAAGGAUCGGCUAACUCCGUGCCAGCAGCCGCGGUAAUACGGAGGAUCCGAGCGUUAUCCGGAUUUAUUGGGUUUAAAGGGAGCGUAGAUGGGUUGUUAAGUCAGUUGUGAAAGUUUGCGGCUCAACCGUAAAAUUGCAAUUGAUACUGGCAGCCUUGAGUACAGUUGAGGUAGGCGGAAUUCGGGGUGUAGCGGUGAAAUGCUUAGAUAUCACGAAGAACGCCGAUUGCGAAGGCAGCUUACUAAACUGCCACUGACAUUGAUGCUCGAAAGUGUGGGUAUCAAACAGGAUUAGAUACCCCAGUAGUC